rnacentral:lncRNA from 1 species
GAAAAAGAAAGACAUGUAGGAGGAAAAAGUUCAAGUCCAAAAAACUUUGACUUUGAUUUCAUUGAAGAUCAGGUCAAGUAUGACAAACGGAAGUACAGGAAAAAUGAAAACAAAAGACCGACUAGUCCUCGGAGUUAGCCUCCUCCAUUGGAUAACGAUAGGGGACGGUCGGCGAACCCGCUCUGGCUUCAGCAGUCGGGGCCGCC